rnacentral:lncRNA from 1 species
AUGGAUCCUAUGAAUAACUGUGGAAUAGUUGUUGUGAUUGCUUUUAUUAGCAGUCCUCAAAACUCAUCUCUGUGUGACCUUGCAGUCCCUGGCCCUACCUGUGGUGCCCCAAAUGUCAGCAUGAUAGCAUCUGGCAGGACGUGUUCCAGGAAGACCACAGAGGCAAACUUUCCAGAUACCAUCGAGAAUUCCUACUCCCAGCAGGAAGAGACCAAACCAAAUAUCGGAGCCAGCAGAAAUAGACUUCUUCUGAGUCAGGUGGCCUACUUCCUGAACUACCAGCUGAAGACCUACAGUAAGUUCUAUAGGUUGACCACCAUGAAGGUGAUGAAGGAUGUCCGGUCUUGUCUCAGGAAACUAACCGUUUCCUUAAUCAAAAUUAAUUUCAUCCUUCCCAUACUUGUGGAAACGAGCAGUGGGCAUUUUAACAUUUAUUUAAAGAUGGAAGACAGUAGCGAAAGUAUUUAGCAACUUUUCUACAUCUGCUGUAAGGUAGGUGUGAGACGGGUUAAAAUCCCAGUAUUGAUUACUGACACAGGCACAGAACCACCUGUUUUCUCAGCAAAAGGCUAAAUCAUGUUUACAGGAGUCUUCUCUGUACCAUAUAAGAUCCUACAUACAAGUAGCAUCUAGUCUGUUGGCCAAAAUGUCUGAGGUUAUUGAACUUCCAUUUGGUUUUUGUUUCUGCUGUGGCACAGUAGGCAAAGCUGUAUUCUGGGAACACUGGGGGAAACACAGUGAUAGCGCACAGUACCCAC